GGACAUCAAAGAAAAAAGAGGAGAAAGAAAAUUGAUUCAUCUCCUUCCUCACAACACUGUCGAAACAACCAUGGUCCUCGAUUGAGAUAAGUGUCGAUGAGCUAGAGAGACAUCAAGAGCUUUAAAUUCAGUAUCCAACUCCAAUCCAGGACCUGAAAGUUGCCGAGCUUAAGGUGUUUUCACCUAAGACAUUCCAAGUCUCACGAAUGUCAUGAAAACAAGCUUAAUGAAGACUUCUUCUGCUCUACAACGACAGAUCUGGUGAGUUCCAGUUGUUUAUGAAGCUUUUGUUGUCCAAAAAUCAAAGAGCUGGUGGUAAAUCUCCAUCUUCAUGUCCCUCUUGAGUGUAGAUUCUCCAGCUGGACUCAUGCCUCUCCAUUGCCUGCAUAUCCCUAGAAUUCCAAAAGGGUAAGUUUUUGUUCUUCACGAUCCAUUUCCCUUUUGCUUAUUUCGUUUUGAUUGUUGUCAUGCCCUCAUCUACCUGCUAUUUCAGAACAAUGUUUCGCCAUAUUUCUCGACUCUCAGCAGAUUGAGCUUAAAAGCUGAUACCACUGCUUGAAAUUCAAUAAAGAUAGGUACUUUAUUAUUCUCUAAAUGUUCUUCUUUCUUGUCACUGAUGCAUCUGCUUGUAAGUUCCAAAGUCUGCUAUGUGAAUUCACAAUUAUAAUAUUAUUUUCUUGUUAUCUUCUCUGCGUAUGAUCAUGAUUAGCAAAAAUCUCCAUUUUGGUAUCUUCUUAUCCUAAGGCUAGGAAGUUUUGCUUUCUCUGUAUUGAUGAUGCCUCUUGCCUCACUUGGUAUAUCCUGAAAAUUUGAGUAUGUUAGUCUUUGAGUACCUGCAAAACAGAAAAUGUGGUUAGUGAAAAAUUCAGUCAACUGAUUUCCUUCUCUGAGUAUAUGUUCCACUAUCGAUUCUUUGUCCUUCAUAAGUAUCUUAAUCCUCUCGAUCUCCAUCACUAUGACCCAAGGGAUUUCCCAAAUUCCAUCCAAAAUAUUCUUCAAAGAAAGAGAUUCAAUUUCAAGUAUAACAGGGAGAAGAUUAUGUUGUACACAGAACUCCAGACCCAAUCUUAAUGCCACCACUUCUGCCACUAGAUUAGAGCCAUCAAAUAAUCUCCUGAUUUCAGCAUAAAUUAAAUUCUCUUCUCUAUUCCUGAUACAAAAAGGCCUAGAACUUAGGCCUGGAUUUCCUUUAGAUGCACCAUCAAAGUUGCAUUUAAAAGACCCCAUCUUUGAAGGAUUCCACAUUACUGUUCUGCAACCAAGAGUGGGAGUGUACUCCUCAAAGAAAUUUACCAACCCAGGCUAAGAUAUUGGUAAAUUUUUUAGCCAAGGGUAGUUAUACUUGGCUAACGGAAACAAAUUUCUGUUUAUUUCUAUUUCCAUACCCACAUAUGUCAUUCUUCCUUCAUGAUUAGUGGUGUUUCUCCUCUUCCAAAUCUGCCAUAAGGUAAAUAAAGGAACUGCAUUGAAGAGUAUUUGCAACUUAGGUGUUCUUUCUGCCCUCAACCAUUUCAUUACAGAAUCCCUUAAUUGCAAAAAAAGGACCAUUAAUUCCCCCUGCAGCUGCAAAUUUGCCCCUUAGCCUGUUAGCAAUUGGACACUUAAUGAAUAAAUGUUCAAUUGUUUCCCUCUCAUUCUCAUCACAACAUUUACAUAGCACUUAAUCACAUAUCUGGUGUCUUACAAGCACUUCUCCAAUAGGAAUUCUCUUCUUCCACAACCUCCAAAUCAAAAAGGACACUUUGAAAGUUCAAUAGUCACAACCUUAAAAUUCUGGAUUCUCAAAUUUAACUAACUUUAAUGAUAAAAUUAAUAAAAAUUACUCCUUAUCAAGUUAUUAAAUAUAGAAAAAUACAAACCUAUGAAGAAAGCUUCAGAAAUACGCUUAAAUGACAUUUUAUGGCAUAUAUAUUAUAAAAUCCCUAUAAAUGAUUUGAUAUUAAUAAAACAUGAAUUUAAUACGAUAUUAAUUGUUGAUUUCUUACUUAUUUAAAAUAUAAUUAACAAAGUCAAAUAAGAUGGCUUAUCUGUGAAUUUGUUUGAUAUUUAAUUUUGUUCAAUAUAAAAUUUUGAUUUCUUAAACAUCCCCAUGAAGCAAUUUAAAAUGAUAAAUGGGUUGUUUAACUUGAAUUAGUGAUGUUUCAUAUAAAUUGAUGAGAUCUGUUUUCUACGUCUCUAUUAAGUAAAGGGUAACUUAGAGAAAUCUCAUCAGUUUAAGAGCUAAUUAUUUGGAUAUCCACUAGUUUGCAAUAUUAUGAAUUAUAUCAGAUUUUGGACUUGAGAUACAUAUAUAUGGUGCAUCCAGAUACGUCCAGAUACAUGUAUGUCAGAUACAUGAGGAUGAAAUUAGGUGUAAUUUGUUCUAGAUACAUUGUAUCCGAGUGGAUUCACAUGUAUCUGGGAUACAUACAACAAAUCCCGCUCACCUCUCUCAUUUCUCAUUGUCACUCGGCUAUCUCGCUCGCGUAUCUAGUAUCCCUGAUACAUGUAACUUGUGUUAGAGGCAUGUAUCUAGUGUAAUUCACAUGAAUGUGAAAUACAAAGAAAAAUCUCACUCGUCUCUCUCCCUAUUUGUCACGACCCGAGCCUACACCCUGGAUGUGGACGACACUCGAGAACCAUUGAUGGUCCCCAAGCGAACCCUCAUCCUGACUGGCUACAAGCGGAAGACUAACUCAAGCAUACAAAAGCUUAAAACUAAAAUAAUUUCAAUAAACUCAAAUACUCGACCUUUUUAAAAGUUUGUACAAUACUCAAAAUAAAAGUAAAUACAGAAACUCAUCAACUUUGUCUAUCUAUGAAGCCUCUACUAUUACAGAAGUAUAACGAGACAAGACCCACGACAUAUCAAAACUACUAAAUGUAAGAUAAAGGUGAAGUCCUUUGAAAUAUAAGAAGGCUCACCAAAGUUGACUGGAAUAUCACGUGACCUCAACGAAAUACCUGUUAAUGAUCCAUAGUACUUGUAUCUGCAUCAUGAAACGAUGCAGGCCAAAUGGCUCAGUACAUGGAAUGUACGAGCAUGUAAGGGGAAUUCUAAAGCAUAAACAUAAGCUUGAACUGAUGGAAAAGAAACAUACUUACCUCUUCUCAACUCACUCAACUCAACUCAAUGAAACAUAGUUCAACUCAACUCAGAGAAAAUAGGGCUCAACUCAAUAACAUGAUAUUCAACUCAGUGAAACAUAGUUUAACUCAAAUCAGAGAAAUGAAGCUCAACUAAAUAAUAAGAUACUCAACUCUCGAUAAAGCAACAAUAAAAGAUGCAAUAUAUGGAAAUCUUUUAAAACAAUAGAUAGCAACUCAAUGUAUUGAAGAAUACAAUAAUAACUCAAUUUGUAUAUAAAAAUACAAUAUAACUCUGCGGAAGAUUCUCUAACCGACAACUAUCACUAUGAGCUAUGUGAUGAUACAUCGUCUAGCCUACGCUGCCAGAACUGUCAUAUACUUUGUCGGGGUAUUGAACCUACUACUAAGUGGAUCCACUAGUCUAUGCUAAAAAGCAACAAGAAAUCAUCUAAAAAGUAUGACCCUUUCUACCCACGUUGGCUACAUGGUUUAUGGGGGCUGUGAGUUGUUAAAACUCUCCCCCAUAUCGGUGCUCAAUACUACUCCCAAAAUAUAUCUAGCUCAUAUGUUUAAAAACAUAACUCUUUCUGUGUUUUGGGGUUAUUACUCAAAAAUCUUUCUUUUAAAAGAGAUGGUACUCAAACUGCUCAAAACUCUUUUGGAAAUCUCAAUUUCCUCCUCUUUUAAAUGUGAAAACAUUUACUCUUGGGAAUACUUAGUUCUCAUAUAUUCAUUUUGAAGAAAAUGAACUCAACGCUACUCUUUCUCAAACUCAGGUGCUCAAGUCUUAAAACAAGUUUAAAGUGAUUGUAAAAAACUUCUCAAAAUAGGGUUCAUGCCGAAUUAUGGGCGUGAACGACUCAAUUCAAGGUUUUUAAUAACCAUACAUAGAACUCAAUACUUGGAACCCAACAAUUCCAAAACUCAAUGAUACUACUCAUCUCGAGAAUGAUCAACUCAACUCAAGGACUUCAUGAUACUACUCAUUUCAAGAAUGCUCAACUCAUAGGGUUCAUGCGAGAUUAUGGGGAUGUACAACUCAACUCAACUCAAGGACCUUCAUGGAUAACACGUAAUAGUCUCAUGACUAGGAAUAUAACCUCAAAGUGGUUAGGAACUCAAUACUUAAGACUUAGAACUUGAAGAUACUACUUCUCUCAAAGAUAAUCAACUUAUGGAGUUCCUGCAAAAUUUAUGGGCAUGAACGACUCAACUCAAGGGUCUACAUAACAAUAUGGAACUCAUGUACAUGACUCUUCUCAUUCUCAUACUUACUUCCUCAAAACUUAGCUCAAAUCGAUAGUUGAUCUCAAAGGAUUCACGAUUUAACUCAAAGACUUUCUUGAACUGUUCUCCUAACUCUUUCUUGAAUUUGAAUAUGAAUUCAAGACUUAUGAUUCAUGAUAUGAACGAUAUCGAUAAUAAUGUAGACUCAUGAAUACAUUCUCCUCAUUCUCAUACUCGCUUACUCGAGUCUUGAUACAAGUUAUUAGAAGUUGUAGAAGACUCCUCAAAAGGACUCAAAGGGACUUUCUCAAAAUAUUCGAAAGAACUCUCAAGACUUGACUCUUAACUCUACCUUGAAUUUGAAUUAUGAAUUCAAGGUUAUGAUUCAUGUUAUGAAUGCUUUCUAGGUGUUUAGAAGUAGUUUAGAGUGUUUAGAAUCAAUAGGGAUUAAAGGAACCCUUUUAAAGAGCUCAGACGGGCAAAAUGACGGAGAAAAGGUAGGUACAGGCGACCCUGGUGCACUGAGUGACGCAGGGCGCCAACCCUCUACCUACAGACACUCUCUACUAGCGAAAUGGUGGGGCGGCGCGCCAGUCUAUUCCUAGAAAACCCCGACGAAUUUCUUUGCUCGUUUUCUCACCCUAGUUUGCCUAGAUUCGAAUGGUUUCUUCCCCACUCAUUUAGAUUUGAAUACCCAACCUAAGUGUACACUAAUCUACUCAAAACAACCCUCAAAUCACUAACUUUCAUCUUAAGAACUCCUCAAAACCUCAACAAAACAAGAUUUAGAAUCAAACCUCAAGAACACUUAUCAAUAACUCAUCAAGAACUUAAAUUGCUCAAUAUUUAUGGAUAGAUUCACAAAAAAAACUCAUGAUUGGCGUGUGGGUGAACAAACCCAACACUAUGGAAGCUUACAUACCUCAAAGAACUAGGUUCUUGGUGAAAUCUUGAAUUUCUUGAACGAAUGCUUGGAACUUUGAACUUUUUCUCCUCUUUUCUCUUCUUGAACUUUCUUCUUAAACCCUAAGCGUAAUUAGAAUUUGUGAAAAUUGAACCAAAUCAGUUUAGUCCCCUAAAUAUUACCAUAUUUUGUUUUAAUCUGAUUGGGUAAGGAAAAGACCAAAAUACCCAUCAUAUUUUUGGGUAACUUUCCUUAAACGGACAGCCUAACUUCAAAAGGUCAUAUCUCUCUCAUACGAGCUCGAAAAUUAGAAAACUCGAUGGCGUUCGAGAGAGGACUCAGAGAUCUUUCAUUUGAUAUCUUAUCAAUUUCCUAACUCAUAUUGUAUUGAAAGUUAUGGUCGUUUGGAGUUGACCCAAAACUUAGAAGAACUUAGGAAUGACUUGAAUGAAUUCUCUUUAAUUCUUUUUGGAACUCAAAGUGCUCUAUCUAGUGAUCUAACCUUGACACUUAAGAAAUUUUAAAUUCCUUGGUAAAAUCUUACUCACAAUGAAGAAUGGUUCGAGUCUUAGCUCAAAAAAAUUUCGGGGUGUUACGCUAUUUCAGUGAAUCUAGUAGCAAAAUAUAUGUAUCUAGGUGUAUCUGACUUGCAAUUUGGUAUGAAAUUAUUAAUUAGUGUGACAAUAUGUAAUUAUUUUACCAUCCAGGCUAAUCCAUACAGGCUUUGAUAUUUUAUGGGUCAGGCCGGGCUAGCCCAUUUUUGGUAUGGGCCAAAAAAUGGUCGGCCCAGGCCACAAGUACGUGGGCUACAGGCUUGCCGGGCCAGCCCACUUUUUUUAAAAUUAUAUUUUUUUAUAAUUAUUAAAAUAAAGUAUAAAUUAUAAUUUAAAAAUAUUAUGAUAAAUAUCGACAAAUCAAUAUUACAUGCAAAGCGAAGCCCGAUAUUUAAGUGGAGAAGGGUAGAGGGGCGGGCCCAUUAUCCACCGAGUUUAGAAGGCUGUGAUUGGUCCAAAGGGCGGGUCACAGACGGAUUUCUCGGUUAUCAAAAAAAAAAAUCCACAAAUAAAAUUAUCUUUAUAAUAUUUAUUAAGGUUUUUUCAAAUAAAAGUAUAAAUAUCUAAAUAGAAAUAUUAACAUAAUUGUUUUGUCACAUUAAAACACAAAAAAUGUGACAAUAUUCCAACCAUAAAAAAGUUAAAAAUAAACUCCUUAAAAAAAUCAUGAAACUUAUGACGUAUCUAACACAUCAUGAAAUCUAUGGCGUAUCCAACACUUCAUGAUCAUCUUCAUCAAGCAUAUCUGAAUCAACUUAUGGCAAGGUUGUCUUAACAUCUUCAUUUUCAUCUUCAAUUUAUAUGCGGUUUCAAUUAGUUAAAUAUUAAAUAGAUUUUGAGUUUGGACUCUCGUUAAUUUUAAAUUUUAAUAUUAUAUUAUAUUUUUUAAUUAUUUUUAUUUGGCCCACGGGCCGGCCCUACCUAUAUUUCUCAAGCCCCACAAAUCAACAGGCUUAUUCAGGCCAGGCUAAAAAGCCCUUUUCUUAAAUGGGCUCCAAAAAUCUUAGCCCAACCCUAUUAAAUCCCGGGUUAGGCCAGGCCAUAUGGUAAGUAAUACUAUAAUAUAUUCAAUUAUUUCAGAUGAAAUGAGAAGAAUUAACUUUUUAUUUUAUAUCGGUCUUCAGUCCAGAAGCUUUAGUUAUAUUUAUUUCUUCUCUCCCAAAUAAUUGGAUGGACGUAAUGAUUAACAUUCAUAUCUGUCUUGGUCCAAAUGAGGAUUUCCUGACAUAUAUGAAUGCACUUAAAGUCAAGUGGGAGGAAAAAAUAGAUAUAGAAGCUAAAAUAAAGAAAUAUUGGCUUCUAAGAACGUGUCCAAGGCCUCAUUUUUAUCAACGUUCUCCUAUAAACAAUCUAGCUAAGAUUUUAGCUGAUAGUGUUAUAAAUCCUUAUCACCCGCGUAAUGAGAAAGAUGAUGUCUAAUGUAGACAAGUGCUUAUAUCACUUAUGAUAUUUUGAAUAAUUUUUAUGAGAAUGUGUUCUUUAUCUAUUUGUUAAAUUUUUGUGAUAUUUAAAUAUUAUUAAUAUUAUGGAUUAAGACUGAAUUAAAAUUCUUUAAUAUAACAUAUACUAAGAAAUAAUUGCAAUUCUUGAAUAGUCAUUUGAUCUGCAAAUGAUGAUUGAAAAUUUUGUGACCAUCAAUUCUGUACUAAGAGUAAAGAAAAUAUGAGAACUGAUUUUCUUACGUGUGUAUCACAUGCAUUAUUGAUGAGUGACUCUAACAUAAUUGUCGCUUAUAAGUAUAAGCAGAUUAUGACUUCAAAAGGUAUAAUUUUAUAUCGGUGAUAAGUUGUACGACAAAAACUAUAAUAUAUGAACCCAUAAGAUAUGAUUUGUAUUGAAAAAGCAAGACAUUCUAAAGAAUAUAUACCUUGCGAUAUGUCACCUAGAGAAGGGUAACAAUGCCUAACUUAUGAGAGAUCUUGAUAUCUAUAAUGUGUAAAAAUAAAAAGACUCCACUAAAAUAAAAUAACUUAUGAGAGAUCUUGAUAUUCACUAUUUUAUGUUGUUAUUUAAUAUUAAGGGUAGAAAUAAAAAAAUAAUAUUAAAAAUUCUUUUGAUUUCAUUAAUUAGACGAGUAAAUCAAAACAACUACUCAAAAUAUAAACGUCCGGAGAAUUUUCUAUUGUCUAUAUAAAUAAACAAAUUUUGAUUGACAUUAAUGAAGUUUAUAUAAAUUAUAAUUUAAAAUAAUUUAAAUUUUAAAACAUACAAUCUUUAUAAAUUUGACCUUAAUUAAAUUAAUUAUUUUAUAUUUCCUACAUCAAAAUAUAUUUGUAGUUAUUAGUCUCUUUUAUUUUUUGUGUAAAUGAAUAUUAGAGUUUGAUUAUUAUUAGUAAAAGCAUUUUUUUCAUUAUGCUAAUUUACUUCAUUAUAAAACAUCAUUAGCUCAUAAACUUACUUAAUAAUUGUCACUUUUUCGUUCAAAAAUAAUGGGGAAAAUUAGCAAAACAACAAUAUUUAAGUCUUUAGUGGGACUCAUUAGCAACAUUUUUAACUAUUUAUUAAAAAUGACAAUAUUUUAUUUUGUUAAAAGGAUGAUUUAUGUAUUUAUUUAUUAUGAUAAUACUGAAAGAAUACAAAAUACUUAAAUAAUAAAAAAAGAGAAAAACAUGGAACAUAAAACAUCAAAAAGGAAAAAAGAUUUUAAAACUUUUCAGUUACUUUUUUCAAAGCGUGGAUGUUGGCUCACUUUCUGUGGAGCGUUUUUUGGUCUUCCAUUGUUAAUAAUUCCAAACAAAAAAUUUGCAAAAAAAAGUUUUUGUCUUCCUAAUCGGUCAAUUGAUAAUAUUCCUAACUUCUUCGAAUCGAAUUCGGCAUAUUCUUAAAUUGGAUGUUUUCGAAUUCCACGACUAUAAUUUCGUCAGUUCUAUUGAAUACAAGAAAUUUAGACAUCAGGUAUUUAAUUUUUGUUGUUUCUUUUUAAUCGGUGAAAUCUUUGUAUGGUUUGAAAAUUUUAUUGAAAUUUCGACGUCAGUUCCAUUGAAAUCCAUAAAAAGCACAUGAACACGCUGAGGAACAAUCAUAUAUUUUGUAUCCAAUAUAUGAUGCAUACGGCUUGAAAGUGCUUGAUUCUUUUUAAUUUCAUAGUUGUUUGUUCUUUAUUUGAAUGAAUACUAAUUUUUUGUAAAUAUUAACAAUAUGAAAUUAUAUAUUUUUUUAGGUUUGAAGCUGUUGUUAUUUUGAAGGUGUUGUUAAUGUAUGCAUACAAAGCACAUGAACACGCUCAUGAACAAUCAUAUGUUUUGUAUCCAAUAUAUGAUGCAUAAGGCUUGAAAGUGCUUGAUUUUUUUUUAAGUUUCGUAUUUGCUUGUUCUUUAUUUGAAUGGCAUACAAUAUUUUUUUGUAUGCCAUUAUGUUUAAUUAAUUAUCCUUAUGCAUACAAUCAUAUGUUUUGUAUCCAAUAUAUGAUGCAUAAGGCUUGAAAGUGCUUGAUUUUUUUGUUUCAUAGUUGUUUCUUCUUUAUUUGAAUGGGAUACAAUAUUUUUUUGUAUGUCAUAUAACUUGAGUGCGUGUUCUAUAAUUUUUCUUUCUGAAGCUAUUGAUGUUUGAGCGCACAUUACAUUUAUGUAAUUGAUUAUUGGAUACAAUUUUUUUGUUUUAGACUACUGCAAAUCUGUGAUUAUCAAAAAUAUAUUUGUUAAUGUAGUUAUGGGAAGCAUUAGUUUUCUAGUCAUGCAUUCUGGGAGGUGGAACGAGGAUAAUUGCUACGUUGAUUACACUAUAGAAGCAAUUGUGAUAAAAGAAUAUGCGACAUUUAGAGAAUUAUUAGAUGUUGUUUCUAAGCAAAUUUGUGUUGAGUAUG
rnacentral:lncRNA from 1 species